CGAACGAUGAUGCCCAGCUUGCUGGGCGGAUUAGUGGCGAACGGGUGAGUAAUACGUGAGUAACCUGCCCUUGACUCUGGGAUAAGCCUGGGAAACUGGGUCUAAUACUGGAUACUACCUCUUGCCGCAUGGUGGGUGGUGGAAAGGGUUUUACUGGUUUUGGAUGGGCUCACGGCCUAUCAGCUUGUUGGUGGGGUAAUGGCUCACCAAGGCGACGACGGGUAGCCGGCCUGAGAGGGUGACCGGCCACACUGGGACUGAGACACGGCCCAGACUCCUACGGGAGGCAGCAGUGGGGAAUAUUGCACAAUGGGCGGAAGCCUGAUGCAGCGACGCCGCGUGAGGGAUGACGGCCUUCGGGUUGUAAACCUCUUUCAGUAGGGAAGAAGCGAAAGUGACGGUACCUGCAGAAGAAGCGCCGGCUAACUACGUGCCAGCAGCCGCGGUAAUACGUAGGGCGCAAGCGUUGUCCGGAAUUAUUGGGCGUAAAGAGCUCGUAGGCGGUUUGUCGCGUCUGCUGUGAAAGCCCGGGGCUCAACCCCGGGUCUGCAGUGGGUACGGGCAGACUAGAGUGCAGUAGGGGAGACUGGAAUUCCUGGUGUAGCGGUGAAAUGCGCAGAUAUCAGGAGGAACACCGAUGGCGAAGGCAGGUCUCUGGGCUGUUACUGACGCUGAGGAGCGAAAGCAUGGGGAGCGAACAGGAUUAGAUACCCUGGUAGUCCAUGCCGUAAACGUUGGGCACUAGGUGUGGGGGACAUUCCACGUUUUCCGCGCCGUAGCUAACGCAUUAAGUGCCCCGCCUGGGGAGUACGGCCGCAAGGCUAAAACUCAAAGGAAUUGACGGGGGCCCGCACAAGCGGCGGAGCAUGCGGAUUAAUUCGAUGCAACGCGAAGAACCUUACCAAGGCUUGACAUUCACCGGACCGCCCCAGAGAUGGGGUUUCCCUUCGGGGUCGGUGGACAGGUGGUGCAUGGUUGUCGUCAGCUCGUGUCGUGAGAUGUUGGGUUAAGUCCCGCAACGAGCGCAACCCUCGUUCUAUGUUGCCAGCACGUGAUGGUGGGGACUCAUAGGAGACUGCCGGGGUCAACUCGGAGGAAGGUGGGGAUGACGUCAAAUCAUCAUGCCCCUUAUGUCUUGGGCUUCACGCAUGCUACAAUGGCCGGUACAAAGGGUUGCGAUACUGUGAGGUGGAGCUAAUCCCAAAAAGCCGGUCUCAGUUCGGAUUGAGGUCUGCAACUCGACCUCAUGAAGUCGGAGUCGCUAGUAAUCGCAGAUCAGCAACGCUGCGGUGAAUACGUUCCCGGGCCUUGUACACACCGCCCGUCAAGUCACGAAAGUUGGUAACACCCGAAGCCGGUGGCCUAACCCCUUU
rnacentral:rRNA from 1 species